rnacentral:tRNA from 1 species
UCCCGAUUAGCUCAGUCGGUAGAGCGUCAGACUUUUAACGCAAAGUCUCCGAGCACCAGCUUGGAUUAGUUUAAUCUGAAUGUCAGGGGUUCGAGCCCCCUAUUGGGAG